AUGUUCCUGUCUCUGUCCCUCUCCCGGCAGGGAUUUAUUUCUCUCUGUCCCUCUCUGGUGGCAGGGAUGUUCCUGUCUCUGUCCCUCUCCCGGCAGGGAUGUGGCUCUGCCCCGACACUCCAGGGUUUAUUCCAGUGCUGUGGGUGCCCAUCCCGAACCUGCCAAACCUCCCCAGAGCCCAGCUUGGCUCCCCAGAUAAUAUCUCCCCCCAAAACACGCUCCUCUCUCCCCCCCUCAUGUUUUCCUAAUUACUCUCCUCCUCCUCCUAAUUGCCCUGCUGAGCAGAACCCUGGCUCGGGUGGGGUGAGGAGGUUCCUGUGUGAGCCCGGGGCUGUUUUUGGGGGGCCGUGCUGGGGCGCGGGGGCACCUGGCAGCCUGCAGGAGGUGCCUGUGUGGUCCCCCAGCCCUUCCCCCAGCCCUGUGCGGUAUUGGGGGACGGUUCGUGGCUCCCAAACCCACCCAGGCCCUGCCAGCGCCCCCCACCCUGUCUGGCUGCAGGGACAGAGCCCUGGCGGGGGGGUCGGGGUGGGGGAUGGCACCUGGCCCAGGUGAGAUCCCCGUACGGCAGGGGACGAGGCGUGGAGGGACAGGAGCAGCGAGUGGCUCCCGCUCCCCCCCCCCCCCCCCCCCCCCCCCCCCCCCCCCCCCCCCCCCCCCCCCCCCCCCCCCCCCCCCCCCCCCCCCCCCCCCCCCCCCCCCCCCCCC
rnacentral:lncRNA from 12 species